rnacentral:misc_RNA from 1 species
CUGACAGUCAUGAUAACUCCCGAGAACUGUCAGGAAGUUCGGAUGUUGAGGACUUAGUAGAUGAAUGCAAGGAAGAAGUAAGAUUUGUGAGUCAUCCGAAUUCUGUUGCCUUAGAAUCUGAGGAAUCAAUUUUGAGCUCUCCAGAUGUUGCCUUAGAAGUAUUGUCUUGUGAAGAGGCGGAGGAUUAUGCUGAUGAAAUUGCUGGCAACCAAGGUUGCAGAAAUGUUGUAACUUUCUGUGAAACUCAAUCAAGUGAUGUUUCUACCGACAGUGAUGAAGAGGAGCCAGGAAUGUUUCCUGAAAAACCAAUAGUAAGCAGUGAUUCCAAGAAGUGUUUCCGAUGUCAUAAAGGGAAACGAUUCACUGAGAGAGAAGUAUGCAUAGCUUGUGG